AGCUGUUGGACAAAGGCCAACAGAUGCAAAAAAUAAAUCCUCUUUUGCAACCCAGAGCUCAUUGCUCAGUAUGAGUUUUGAUGCAUACAAGAAGGAAUGUA
rnacentral:snoRNA from 1 species